rnacentral:tRNA from 1 species
GCCUCACAAGCAUUGUGGUGAUGCGCCAGCCUUCCAAGCUGGUGAGCGCGGUUCAAUUCCCCGGAGGGGCUCCA